GUCGUUCUUGAGGAAAUUUAUUGUUUACUGAGUUUUAUAAUUGUUAUUUGUAAUUUUGUGUGCCAAAAUUACAAAAAGGCUGAUACAUGACUGUGUUAGCGGACUAAAUUCUAAAAUAUUCUCGUGAUUCAGUUUAAGUUUAAAUUGCAUUUGUUUAUCUUACAUGCAUGCAUGUCAACCUUAAUUAUUCAUGUAGUUCCCGAGUUUACACAAAAGCUUUCAGCAAGCAGCUGCACUAGAUACAAACAUUCGAUUUUUUUCAAUUGUACCUAUAAAUAUAACAGUCUUGCAUGGUCUGGGAGUAUUCAGAUGUCUUUAUCAAUUAUCAUAUGAGCCGCAUCGUUUUAUAACAGAAUGUAUAAACGCUAGCUGAAUCCGUUAUAUUGAUAUUAGUAUACAAUGGCGAAACGUUCCUGCAACUGCGCAAAAUUCUUUGUUAGGGAUCAAGAAUUUAUAAGCUUUCUUAUAUGUCUUAUAUACGAACGACGCAAAUUCCCGUAUGAGUUACAGAUCCGCAAUUUUUCUUGAAAAAAAUUAUCGACUAAGAAUAAAUAAAAGUAUACGCAUCUUUGAUUCGGUAUUGCCGUUUAUUAAUGUUUCGGAGUUAAUGUCCCCAAUGCUGUCACCAGACAGCGACAUAACUGCAUGUGCGUUCAGAUAAAUUGUCUUUGAAUCGAGCUUUACUGACUUCACACUUUUUGUCAAACUGUGCACUGUACCGUUCAUGGAAAAUUCAAUACUCUAACUCAGUCACUAUAGUCUAUAUAUACAAUAUUGUCAAUAACUCUUAUAUAAAAUGAACGAUGGUUAAUUAAAAUCUCCACUACCUAGAAAUUAAAAUAAUACUAUUUGGGUUAAUUUAAAUACUUCUGGUUAAAUUGCCUGGUCAUUUUAUCUCAGUUCCUACGGGACUCCAUAUAGUCUGGUAUCGAAGGGAAGAUGACUGUGAAACUCAUUAGAAUAACAAUAUAACUCAUUAUCUACAGUAUGUUAGGGCAACGCUUAUUCAUAAUUCUGGUACUUCACCGUCACGUGUGUAUUCUAUUUUUAACUAACCAAUAGCAAUGUUUUACGAAAGUUAUCUAUUCGUGACUCGAACAAUACAGGGAAAUUGGAAAUUGCGAUUGGUGGAUUUGGCAGAAAUACAAUACACACGUGACGGUGAAGGACCAGAUUUAUGAAUAAACGUCGACUAUUCUAAUGAGUUUCACAGCCCUCUUCCGGUUAUCGUUCCAUGUUUCGCGCACCAAUAUAGGUUAGGGUUAGGUAUUAGGGUUAGGUUAGGGGUAGGUUUAAGGUUAGGGUUAGGGUGUGUAUAUAUGUGUAUGAAGGUAAUCAGUUAACUUUUCAGUAUACUAGCUAUAAUAUCCAUUACAUAACGUUUACUAGCUAUAUUGGUGCGCGAAACAUGGAACGAUUACCAAUCUUCCCUUCGAUAGGCUCAUGGGUUAAUAUAACCAGGAAACUGGUUAUAAUUGACCAGGUCGCCCAUGUUAAAAUUACCUGGACUAUGUCAGGUGGAUAAAGCACCAAAUAUAGACUGGUUAAUUUCACAAGAACGUCCUGGUCAAAUAUAUUAACUAGACUAUUGUAGGAAAAAGGUUAAAAACCCAGGAAAUUUAACUGCGACUAACCCCAAAUAUAAUUUUUGCUAUGUGCAAUAUUUGGGUCAUUCUGAGAAGAAAUGUAAUAUCUCUUUAUUGUAAAAUAUCUCAUCUUGAUCAACUUUUUCACUCUCAAAGUUUCCAGAUACGAUGUCAUUGGAUGAAUUUUUGGAGCAAAAAACAAAGGAAAACGAAUUUGCAAAUCAUCUAAGGGACCGGUCAUUAUUUAUGGUGGGGGGUGGCACCGAAGAGAAAUGUUUUUCGUGCCAAAAAUUUUGCUGACCCAACCAUUAAAAAAUAAAAAAUUUGAUUACCCAACCUCAAGUAUCAUUUAAAAAAUAAAUACCCACUCCUGGCCAAAAACGUUACAAAAGGAUACCAUUCAGUUGUCACACAUGUCCUAGUUACCACUUCUGUGAUACGAGUUUGAUAACGUUCGGCUUGUGAAAUUUACUGACUUUUCUGCAGUCUAAAGUUUCAUGUUGUCUGUACAUUUACUUUCUUUGGAGACACCAUUUGUCUCCCAACAAAACGGAAAAUGAUAAAGAUAGUGACUCUGAUUGAUUCACAUAUUGUAUUGAAAUAUGACUGUUGACAUUGAAGUUCUCAGUCUUCAAUAUUUGAGUGAGUCAUGCUUUGGAAAAGACAAUAAAUUUUUAUUACCCAACCUUUGAGUUGUUUCGUUUUUCAUUCACCCAACCUUUUUCUCACUCAAAAUUUUGUUUACCCAACCCUUUUCUCUUCGGUGCCACCCCCCGCCAUAAAUAAUGACCGGUCCCUAAUGACAUCAUAUCCGGAAACUUUGUGACGGUGAAAAACUUGAUCAAGAUGGGAUUUUUUACUACAAAGAUAUAUUACAUUUCUUCUUCGAAUGACCCAAAUAUUACACAUACAAAAAAUAAUAUUUGGGUCACACUUAACCCAAGUAGGCUUAUGUCUAAGGUUAACCUGGAGUGUUUUUUGAGUGUAUGAAAAGAUUUUGCGGGUUUUUUGUCACAUUAGCUACCCAAAGUAUCUACAACCCUAGGGCAGAGGAGAUUUUAAGUUCUUUUAGGAUUGCAUGACGAUAAAACAUAUAAUACUUUUUGUUUGUGGGAACACUUUGCAGUAUUAAAUUUACGUGGUGUUUCCACAAACAAAAAAGUAUUAGAGGGGAUUUUGUUGGGGGUACGAAAAAAAUUAAUCUUGCACACGAAAUACGUACCUUAUCAACAACAGAUUGAGGUAUAUAUGCGCGUAAAUAAUAAUAAUAAAAACCUAUUUACAUUUAGGACCUGAGGUUCGUGCAGCUAGGGCCAUAUAGAAGUCAGCAUUUAUAUACAGACUCCAAAAUAUCCAAAUAAUUAACUACCAAAAUAUAGAAAAUUGCCAAAAUUUCUUGCCAAAUACGAUACAACGAAGACCACAAUAAAAUAUACAUCGAAAACAGCCACAAUAAGAUUGAACCCUUGACUGGAGCGAUGUAGUGUGAUAAUGUUUGGUUCAGUUUCAUUUUCCCUUCUUUUUUUGACCAAUUACUUUCCAACAAGAACGUUGCGUCCUGGCCUGAAGGCGAAUAUGGACGCCGGAAUACACGCAUCACAAGUCAGACUAGAGGACUCGAGAUGACUAGUUCAAUAUUCGGUUGUAUUCCAGUGAAAACCAAACAGUUCCUAAGAACCACAAGAGACUAAGACCUGUACAGUACAAUAACAGUGAAAUUCGCGUAAAAAUAAACCCGGACACAAUUCGUCCAAACACAAAUCCUAAAUGAUCUACCGAAAAAGAUGAGCCUUGGUAAAAGCCAGCCAUGCUCGGGUCCGUGAUUCGGGCCAGUAACGAACAGCCUAUUGCGAAUAUAAAAUUCUGCAGCCCAAAAGCGAUGUACGGGAUUAGCAGGUAGCUAUCGUACCAAUAUACGUCGUUCCAAUACAAUGCGAAGUAGAGGAGUAGACCAAUCGCGAUGAUUUGCAUAAAGAACGCUAAACAGGCUUGCUUUAGUUCGUCGAAACAGCCUGUAGAAAGGUACAGAGUGAGAAACAGCACGAGGGAUAGGAUAGAGCUUGCCAGAAAGAGGAGUUUUACAUCGAGGAAUUGUAAAUGGAAGCGUUCUUGCGCUAUAAGUGGAGUAUAGAAUGUCACAAUAGUUGGGAAAAAUUGGCCUAGAAAUAUCACAAAAAACACGCAGAAAAUCGUAUGCUUUGGAGGCGGUUUUGACGGAACGAAAUACGAAUCGCUGUCAUCCGAGCUACUACUCGAGGCAUCCUCCAAUGCAAUGAUAGUUUUAUCCAAUUCAAUGUUCGUCCCAAAUUCGUUGGGCAACCAAAGCGAAACGAUAAGAGAAACCGACCAAACCAAUGCCAGGAUUACACCGGACGAAUUACCAGGAUCGAUCUUCCAGCCAAAUAUAUUGGCAUCAAAAACUAAAAAACUGCUCAGAGCCGGCCCGCAUACGGUGCCCAAGCAAUACAUCCCAUUGAUAAAAAUAAACGCUUUUGGACGUGAUCUGUCCGACGUGUACAACACCAGCUGACCGUAAAGAAUACCGGUUGACCCUAUGGAGAACCCACUCAGGGCUCGACCAAUCAGAGGACAGUAUAACGAGACGGGAAUGGAGUAAACUAAGUUCCCAGCGACCUUUAAUGCGUAGCAAAAAAUCACGAUGAGUUUUAUGUACCCAAAGUGGUCAGCAAACUUUCCCAGAAUCGGACCAGCGACGACAGCCGCACCGCCAUAUAUGGAUAGAACCAUUCCUAGAAAUUGUUGGGAGCCGCCUAGAGAUUUUAUAUAGUACCAGGCGGUUGGCGUUAUGAAGUAUUCUUCAGCUCCAUCUAGGAAAUUUCGUAUCGCAAGGAAAAUUAGCACCCAUGGUUUCAUCGUAGUCAAUCUUGUCACCUUCAUCUUGAGGCUAGAGUUAAUCUUAAAAACGAAAAAAUUCUGUAAUUGGAAUUAUUUAUUUAAGGGACCGGUCAUAAAGUAACUGCUGGGAUGGGCCGGAGGGAAUAAGGAUGGGUCAUGAAAUUAUUUUCAUCAUUUUGGGAGGGCCAGGAAUUGUUUUGUGCAAAUGGAUGGGCCAUGAAACACAUAUAGCCUGUUUGCACUCAAUACCUA
rnacentral:lncRNA from 1 species